rnacentral:tRNA from 1 species
GAGGUUAUAGCUCACUGGUAGAGUGCUCACCUAGUAUGGAAGGCUCUGGGUUUGAUCCCCAGUACCUCA